GAACAAUAGAUGGCAAAAGAAGAAGGGGACGGCAGAGAAUGAGGUGGCUAGAUGGAGUCACUGAAGAAGUCGGUGUGAGCCUAAGUGGACUCCAGGGGAUGGUGGACCAAAGGAACGCCUGGAGGAAUGUGUCCAUGAGGUCGCGGUGGGUUGGACAUGACUUCACGACUAACAACAACAA